rnacentral:rRNA from 1 species
GACGAACGCUGGCGGCGUGCUUAACACAUGCAAGUCGAACGGAAAGGCCCUGCUUUUGUGGGGUGCUCGAGUGGCGAACGGGUGAGUAACACGUGAGUAACCUGCCCUUGACUUUGGGAUAACUUCAGGAAACUGGGGCUAAUACCGGAUAGGAGCUCCUGCUGCAUGGUGGGGGUUGGAAAGUUUCGGCGGUUGGGGAUGGACUCGCGGCUUAUCAGCUUGUUGGUGGGGUAGUGGCUUACCAAGGCUUUGACGGGUAGCCGGCCUGAGAGGGUGACCGGCCACAUUGGGAAUGGGAAGGGGCCAAGACUCCUUCGGGAGGAAGGAGGGGGGAAUUUGGCAAAAGGGGCGGAGGCCUUAUGCAGCAACCCCGGGUGGGGGAUGGCGGCUUUCGGGUUGUAACCCCUUUUCGCCUGUGACGAAGCGUGGGGGGGGGGAAUGGGUAAAAGAGCAGGGGCAAACUGCGG